rnacentral:misc_RNA from 1 species
UAAUUCACAACAGAAACAGCAGGAUACAUAUAAGCGUCUCCGGACAGUGGCAACAACAGUGCCUACCUCAAAUAUUUCUGUCAAUACGCCAAUGAACUUGAAACUACCAUCUUAUCAUCAAGAGGCAGGAUUGUACAGGGGUGAAGAUGCAAAAUACUUCUCCCCAUUAUCUGGAAGAACAGCACUGGCAAACAGCAUCACAAACGCUUCUGUUAGUGCUACUUUGACUAGUCAGUCAACACAAUUGUCUCUCAUGCGUUCAGCAAGCUUAAUAUCGGGGCAAGGUGCACAGCAAUUAAUCCAAUCUUCCAGACUCUCCAGUUUGGCAGUCUCCUCUCCAGUUACUGCACCUACAACAUUGUCUGAUGGCAGAGCGCGUAAUGCUUUCCAUACGCUAUCAAUGAGUUCAGUGCCUCGACAGUAUAGGCCUAUUGGAUCUGUUCCUGCUGCUAACCAUCAUCACCAUACUCCAACAAUCGAUCGAUA